UACGGAGGGUGCAAGCGUUAUCCGGAUUCACUGGGUUUAAAGGGUGCGUAGGCGGACAGGUAAGUCAGUGGUGAAAUCUCUGGGCUUAACCCAGAAACUGCCGUUGAUACUAUUUGUCUUGAAUAUCCUGGAGGUAGGCGGAAUAUGUCAUGUAGCGGUGAAAUGCUUAGAUAUGACAUAGAACACCAAUUGCGAAGGCAGCUCGUUACACGCAUAUUGACUCUGAGGCUCGAAAGCGUGGGGAUCAAACAGG
rnacentral:rRNA from 1 species